GUGCCCUCAAGAGUUCCCUUGAACACUUCAAUGGACACACCAAUUAUAUAGGCCCUAUCCAGGGGUGGCUUUUGUCUGCUGAAGUGUUUGGGGGAACUUUAGGUGGUGC
rfam:Spinacia oleracea cultivar SynViroflay scaffold21626.1, whole genome shotgun sequence.